rfam:Capsicum annuum cultivar Zunla-1 chromosome 12, whole genome shotgun sequence
UGAUAAUAGUGAGGGAAAUUAUAGAGCAUAGCCCUUAAUCUUUCCCAAGCUUGGUAUAGAUUCUCUCCAUUUUUCUUCCGAAAACUCAGAAUUUCAUUUCUUAGUCA